AGAGGUGUCGCAUAGUGGCAAUUGCAAGUGACUGUAAAUCACUCGUCUUAAAAGGCUUCGUAGGUUCGAGUCCCACCACCUCUA
rnacentral:tRNA from 1 species